rnacentral:rRNA from 1 species
CUAGCGGCGUGCUUUAUGCAUGCAGUCGAACGGUACUUUUGUUUUCGGACUAAAGGAGAGUGGCGAACGGGUGAGUAACGCGUAAGUAACCUGCCCCUAAGUAGGGGAUAACUUCGAGAAAUUGGAGCUAAUACCGUAUGUGGUGAUGGAAUUAACGUUCCAUCAGUAAAGCCUUAGGGUGCUUGGGGAGGGGCUUGCGUCCGAUUAGCUAGUUGGUAGGGUAACGGUUUACCAAGGCGAUGAUCGGUAGCUGGUUUGAGAGGAUGAUCAGCCACAUUGGGACUGAGACACGGCCCAGACUCCUAUGGGAGGCAGCAGCAAGGAAUAUUGUGCAAUGGGCGAAAGCCUGACACAGCGACGCCGCGUGGGGGAUGAAGGCUUUCGGGUCGUAAACCCCUUUUCUCAGGGAAGAAUGAUGACGGUACCUGAGGAAUAAGUCUUGGCUAACUACGUGCCAGCAGCCGCGGUAAUACGUAGGAGGCGAGCGUUAUCCGGAUUUAUUGGGCGUAAAGAGGGCGUAGGCGGUUCUUCAAGUCGGAUGUGAAAUCUCCCGGCUCAACUGGGAGGGGUCAUUCGAUACUGUUGAACUGGAGUGCAGCAGAGGAAGAUGGAAUUCCCGGUGUAGUGGUGAUAUGCGUAGAUAUCGGGAGGAACACCAGUGGCGAAGGCGGUCUUCUGGGCUGUUACUGACGCUGAGGCCCGAAAGCGUGGGGAGCAAACAGGAUUAGAUACCCUGGUAGUCCACGCCGUAAACUAUGGACACUAGGUAUGGGGAGUAUCGACCCUCUCCGUGCCAAAGCUAACGCCUUAAGUGUCCCGCCUGGGACUACGGCCGCAAGCUAAAACUCAA